rnacentral:lncRNA from 1 species
AUGAGGAAAGCAGGGUCACAUGGAGCGGCCAUUGGCAGUCUCCUGGAAGGUGUCCUUGGGGCCUUUGGGGCUGUGCUCUUGGCCCUGGGAGCUGGACUGUGCCUUUGGAAGACACGUGGGAAGAAGAAGAAGAUGGAACCUGGAGGAGGUGCAGGUUUGCAGGAGGACCACAGGGAUGACCGUGGUGGCGUCCACUAUGCAGAGCUGAGCCAGCAGGAGUCUCUGCAGGGUGAGGACAAGGUGAGAGCCAGGAGUGAUAGGUGGCCUGCCUGGGCACUCCCAGGCCACUCCCUGCCCAUCCUGACACUUCCCAAACCCAAGGACCUGCUGAUUCUAGCCCCACUGCCUCCUUACCUCCUUCUGGACAAUCAUCAGGAGUUACCAAGGGAAUUUACGAUUGGGGCCUGCAUUGUGCUGGGCACUUAGGGGGUUCAUCAGCAGUGUGUGUCG